ensembl:lncRNA
GUGUUCUGACCAUUUUUCUUUUAAUCAUUCAGUUUUAAGAUGCUGAACCCUUUAACAGUUCAGGAUUAAUAGUAAUUACUCUACAAUCCCGUACAGAGCUGACUUGAGCAACACUGGAAAGAAAGUAAGUAGCGAAAAUACUAUUCUCAGAAAGUAUCUUCAACCAAGGACCUCUUCAAGGAGAACUACAAACCACUGCUCAAUGAAAUAAAAGAGGACACAAACAAAUGGAAGAACAUUCCAUGCUCAUGGAUAG